rnacentral:rRNA from 1 species
UACGAAGGGGGCUAGCGUUGUUCGGAAUUACUGGGCGUAAAGCGCACGUAGGCGGACAUUUAAGUUGGAGGUGAAAGCCUUGGGCUCAACCCAAGAAUUGCCUUUGAUACUGGAUGUCUCGAGACCGGGAGAGGUGAGUGGAAUUCCGAGUGUAGAGGUGAAAUUCGUAGAUAUUCGGAAGAACACCAGUGGCGAAGGCGGCUCACUGGCCCGGUUCUGACGCUGAGGUGCGAAAGCGUGGAGAGCAAACAGG